CUUCCCAAAAUGGCCCAGCAUUUCUGAGAUUCAAAUCACCAGUUCUUCCAUAUAUGACCAGAGGGUGACAUAUCCAAGGAAAAUCUGAACUCUGUCUUGACUGAGCUACCCUGAGCCUACUACAUGCUGAUUGGCUUAGGCUAAGGGCUGUGAUACACUGACAUGUGCCACAAAAGUCAAAACUCAGUUCUUUGGAAGGAAACAGAUCAUCAUUUAAGACACAGAACCUGAUGGAUGAUUCUGGACGUUAAUGCUGUGGAGACACAAGAAAGGUGAAAACCCUUCACAACUCAUGAUCAAGGUUGUUCCCCUUGGAAGCUGUGUGAAUGACAUUGUCUGGGACACACGGGAGGAAGUGGUAGUGUCCCUCUUGGGCAAACAUUUUAAGCCAUGCCUCCUUCCUCCUGCUACUAGAAGGAAGUGCCACGAUGGAAUCUGUGAGCCUGGGUCCCAAUAUAAAGAGGUCCCAGCUGACCUGAGAUGACAGUGCAGCCUUCAUGAGAAGGAACUGUUUCUUAUUUUCAGCCACUGAGAUUUUGGUCUUGUUUGCUACUGCAGUGAGGAGGGCAUGGCAACCCACUCCAGUACUCUUGCCUGGAGAAUCCAAUGGGCAGAGCAGCCUGGUGGGCUGCAGUCCAUAGGGUCACACAGAGUCGGACACGACUGAAGUGAUUUAGCUUCAGCACUGUUACUGCAGCAUGACUUCACCUACCCUGUAGCGAGGGUCAUUUGCUAACAGCCGAAACUUCAAAUGUUGAAUCUGUGAAAUGCAAAGC
rnacentral:lncRNA from 1 species